rnacentral:rRNA from 1 species
UUAUCGGAACGUGCCCAAUCGUGGGGGAUAACGCAGCGAAAGCUGUGCUAAUACCGCAUACGAUCUACGGAUGAAAGCAGGGGAUCGCAAGACCUUGCGCGAAUGGAGCGGCCGAUGGCAGAUUAGGUAGUUGGUGAGGUAAAGGCUCACCAAGCCUUCGAUCUGUAGCUGGUCUGAGAGGACGACCAGCCACACUGGGACUGAGACACGGCCCAGACUCCUACGGGAGGCAGCAGUGGGGAAUUUUGGACAAUGGGCGAAAGCCUGAUCCAGCCAUGCCGCGUGCAGGAUGAAGGCCUUCGGGUUGUAAACUGCUUUUGUACGGAACGAAACGGCCUUUUCUAAUAAAGAGGGCUAAUGACGGUACCGUAAGAAUAAGCACCGGCUAACUACGUGCCAGCAGCCGCGGUAAUACGUAGGGUGCAAGCGUUAAUCGGAAUUACUGGGCGUAAAGCGUGCGCAGGCGGUGAUGUAAGACAGUUGUGAAAUCCCCGGGCUCAACCUGGGAACUGCAUCUGUGACUGCAUCGCUGGAGUACGGCAGAGGGGGAUGGAAUUCCGCGUGUAGCAGUGAAAUCGGUGAAAUGCGUAGAGAUCUGGAGGAAUACCGAUG